AUGUUUCUUCUGUUUAGUUUGCCAUUGAUCCUGGCUCCAUCUUUGGACUUUCUGAUCCCUGCCCUGGCCAUGCUUUCUGCUCAGUCAGGGGCUGCUGUGGCCUGCAGGGGGCAGUGCACUGAACCGGAGGAGCCUGUGGCCCCAGCACACCCAGUAAGAGAGUUGAGAGGCAUGGCUGUGGUGGCAGGUAUGGUGCAGCUCGCUGUGGGUUUGACUGGUCUGAGUGGCUUUGCACUGGGACGUUGUGCACCAUUAGUUCUGGCUCCUCUCCUCUGCAUUCUGGGGUUUUUCAUCUACAGGGAGGCAGCGCUGCUUUGUUCUGACCACUGGGGCAUGGCUGCACUCCCCAGCACUCCCCCUGCUGUCUGGAAAAAGCAUUGCAGCAGGAGUGGUAGGAGGCCUGUAUGCCAGCAUCAGCUCUCUAGCUGUGUACGUGGUGCAGCUCGGCUCCUGAAGGCUCCUGUGCCCCCAGCUGUAACAGGGGCCUGUGUGUGGAUGGACUGGGAAGUGUGCUCUCUGGCCUGA
ensembl:lncRNA